GGGGCAGUAGCUCAGUGGUUAGAGCGGGUGUCUUAUAAGCACCAAGUCGGUGGUUCGAUUCCGCCCUGCCCUA
rnacentral:tRNA from 1 species